AAAAGAAAACCUUGAGAAAAAAAGAGGCAUCAUAGUGCUUACUUCCUGAUUGAAGUGGUAACAAUGAACCAUGGAGGUGAUUGGCCAGGUGACACAUCUAUUGGCCAAUGAGCUCAUGUAGUGUCAUUUUGAAUGGCAGUGUUUUGAAAUAGCAAACAUGUGACUUUAUGUCAGAUUGUUGUGUCUUAUGCAGAGAACCGUGUUCAGUGC